rnacentral:rRNA from 1 species
UACAGAGGUCUCAAGCGUUGUUCGGAUUCAUUGGGCGUAAAGGGCGCGUAGGCGGCGGGGUAAGUCGGGUGUGAAAUCUCAGGGCUCAACCCUGAAAAUGCACUCGAUACUGCUCUGCUUGAGGACUGGAGAGGAGACUGGAAUUCACGGUGUAGCAGUGAAAUGCGUAGAUAUCGUGAGGAAGACCAGUGGCGAAGGCGGGUCUCUGGACAGUUCCUGACGCUGAGGCGCGAAGGCCAGGGGAGCAAACGGG